rnacentral:rRNA from 1 species
AUUGAACGCUGGCGGCAGGCCUAACACAUGCAAGUCGAGCGGAUGAAGAGAGCUUGCUCUCUGAUUUAGCGGCGGACGGGUGAGUAAUGCCUAGGAAUCUGCCUGGUAGUGGGGGAUAACGUUCCGAAAGGAACGCUAAUACCGCAUACGUCCUACGGGAGAAAGCAGGGGACCUUCGGGCCUUGCGCUAUCAGAUGAGCCUAGGUCGGAUUAGCUAGUUGGUGAGGUAAUGGCUCACCAAGGCGACGAUCCGUAACUGGUCUGAGAGGAUGAUCAGUCACCAUGGAACUGAGACACGGUCCAGACUCCUACGGGAGGCAGCAGUGGGGAAUAUUGGACAAUGGGCGAAAGCCUGAUCCAGCCAUGCCGCGUGUGUGAAGAAGGUCUUCGGAUUGUAAAGCACUUUAAGUUGGGAGGAAGGGCAUUAACCUAAUACGUUAGUGUUUUGACGUUACCAACAGAAUAAGCACCGGCUAACUUCGUGCCAGCCGCCGCGGUAAUAC